rnacentral:rRNA from 1 species
AGAGUUUGAUCCUGGCUCAGGAUGAACGCUAGCGACAGGCUUAACACAUGCAAGUCGAGGGGCAGCACAGGUAGCAAUACCGGGUGGCGACCGGCGCACGGGUGAGUAACGCGUAUGCAACUUACCUAUCAGAGGGGGAUAACCCGGCGAAAGUCGGACUAAUACCGCAUGAAGCAGGGGCCCCGCAUGGGGAUAUUUGCUAAAGAUUCAUCGCUGAUAGAUAGGCAUGCGUUCCAUUAGGCAGUUGGCGGGGUAACGGCCCACCAAACCGACGAUGGAUAGGGGUUCUGAGAGGAAGGUCCCCCACAUUGGUACUGAGACACGGACCAAACUCCUACGGGAGGCAGCAGUGAGGAAUAUUGGUCAAUGGGCGUAAGCCUGAACCAGCCAAGUCGCGUGAGGGAUGAAGGUUCUAUGGAUCGUAAACCUCUUUUAUAAGGGAAUAAAGUGCGGGACGUGUCCCGUUUUGUAUGUACCUUAUGAAUAAGGAUCGGCUAACUCCGUGCCAGCAGCCGCGGUAAUACGGAGGAUCCGAGCGUUAUCCGGAUUUAUUGGGUUUAAAGGGUGCGUAGGCGGCCUUUUAAGUCAGCGGUGAAAGUCUGUGGCUCAACCAUAGAAUUGCCGUUGAAACUGGGGGGCUUGAGUAUGUUUGAGGCAGGCGGAAUGCGUGGUGUAGCGGUGAAAUGCUUAGAUAUCACGCAGAACCCCGAUUGCGAAGGCAGCCUGCCAAGCCAUGACUGACGCUGAUGCACGAAAGCGUGGGGAUCAAACAGGAUUAGAUACCCUGGUAGUCCACGCAGUAAACGAUGAUCACUAGCUGUUUGCGAUACAGUGUAAGCGGCACAGCGAAAGCGUUAAGUGAUCCACCUGGGGAGUACGCCGGCAACGGUGAAACUCAAAGGAAUUGACGGGGGCCCGCACAAGCGGAGGAACAUGUGGUUUAAUUCGAUGAUACGCGAGGAACCUUACCCGGGUUUGAACGCAUUCGGACCGAGGUGGAAACACCUUUUCUAGCAAUAGCCGUUUGCGAGGUGCUGCAUGGUUGUCGUCAGCUCGUGCCGUGAGGUGUCGGCUUAAGUGCCAUAACGAGCGCAACCCUUGCCACUAGUUACUAACAGGUGAUGCUGAGGACUCUGGUGGGACUGCCAGCGUAAGCUGCGAGGAAGGCGGGGAUGACGUCAAAUCAGCACGGCCCUUACAUCCGGGGCGACACACGUGUUACAAUGGCGUGGACAAAGGGAAGCCACCUGGCGACAGGGAGCGAAUCCCCAAACCACGUCUCAGUUCGGAUCGGAGUCUGCAACCCGACUCCGUGAAGCUGGAUUCGCUAGUAAUCGCGCAUCAGCCAUGGCGCGGUGAAUACGUUCCCGGGCCUUGUACACACCGCCCGUCAAGCCAUGGGAGCCGGGGGUACCUGAAGUCCGUAACCGCGAGGAUCGGCCUAGGGUAAAACUGGUGACUGGGGCUAAGUCGUAACAAGGUAGCCGUACCGGAAGGUGCGGCUG